AAAGACGGUUUCGGCUGUCACUUACAGAUGGACCCGCGGCGCAUUAGCUAGUUGGUGAGGUAACGGCUCACCAAGGCGACGAUCCGUAGCCGACCUGAGAGGGUGAUCGGCCACACUGGGACUGAGACACGGCCCAGACUCUACGGGAGGCAGCAGUAGGGAAUCUUCCGCAAUGGACGAAAGUCUGACGGAGCAACGCCSCGUGAGUGAUGAAGGUUUYCGGAUCGUAAAGCUCUGUUGUUAGGGAAGAACAAGUGCAAGAGUAACUGCUUGCACCUUGACGGUACCUAACCAGAAAGCCACGGCUAACUACGUGCCAGCAGCCGCGGUAAUACGUAGGUGGCAAGCGUUGUCCGGAAYUAUUGGGCGUAAAGGGCUCGCAGGCGGUUUCUUAAGUCUGAUGUGAAAGCCCCCGGCUCAACCGGGGAGGGUCAUUGGAAACUGGGAAACUUGAGUGCAGAAGAGGAGAGUGGAAUUCCACGUGUAGCGGUGAAAUGCGUAGAGAUGUGGAGGAACACCAGUGGCGAAGGCGACUCUCUGGUCUGUAACUGACGCUGAGGAGCGAAAGCGUGGGGAGCGAACAGGAUUAGAUACCCUGGUAGUCCACGCCGUAAACGAUGAGUGCUAAGUGUUAGGGGGUU
rnacentral:rRNA from 1 species